CCUACGGGGGGCAGCAGUAGGGAAUAUUGCUCAAUGGGGGAAACCCUGAAGCAGCAAAGCCGCGUGGAGGAUGAAGGUUUUAGGAUUGUAAACUCCUUUUGUGAGAGAAGAAAAUGACGGUAUCUAACGAAUAAGCACCGGCUAACUCCGUGCCAGCAGCCGCGGUAAUACGGAGGGUGCAAGCGUUACUCGGAAUCACUGGGCGUAAAGAGUGCGCAGGCGGGCUUGUAAGUCAGAUGUGAAAUCCUGUAGCUUAACUACAGAACUGCAUUUGAAACUAUGAGUCUAGAGUGUGGGAGAGGUAGGUGGAAUUCUUGGUGUAGCGGUAAAAUGCGUAGAUAUCAAGAGGAAUACUGAUUGCGAAGGCGGCCUACUGGAACAUUACUGACGCUCAUGCACGAAAGCGUGGGGAGCAAACAGGAUUAGAUACCCCUGUAGUC
rnacentral:rRNA from 1 species